rnacentral:lncRNA from 1 species
AACUGGAAGUCUGAAGAGCUCUGGAAUCUGGAGAAUUCUACUUUGGGCAACCUGGACCUGCUUGUAUUUUGGUGAUUUCCCUUUGUUCUGCUGUGAUUUGGAGGGUUUCCAAAAGUUUCCAUGAACUGGAACAAUCCCCUGUGGUGCUCUUUGAGGAAAGAAUAUAUGAUGCACCUUUGACCCUUUGAUUGAGCCACGUCAAUGUGAUAAUUCUGUGA